CACGUAGGGGGCGAGCGUUGUCCGGAUUUAUUGGGCGUAAAGAGCUCGUAGGCGGCUCAGUAAGUCGGGUGUGAAAACUCCAGGCUCAACCUGGAGACGCCACCUGAUACUGCUGUGGCUAGAGUCCGGUAGGGGAGCAUGGAAUUCCUGGUGUAGCGGUGAAAUGCGCAGAUAUCAGGAAGAACACCCGUGGCGAGAGCGGCUCUCUGGAACGGUACUGACGCUGAGACGCGAAAGCGUGGGGAGCGAACAGG
rnacentral:rRNA from 1 species